GAAUCCGUGACUUUCAAAACCAUCGGCUCACAUUGCUUGCGUUCCCAUGUUGAUUCUGUUCAUAGCUGCUUAGUACGGCACCAAAGCGGAAAAGAAGCUGAGCUACCGGUGUGCCGUACAUCCGAAUAAGAAGCCUUAGGGCUCCUUAAGACUCCUUAGGAAUCCGGUUCGACAUGUUAAUUGAUUUCCACGUCAGUUCACUUUUCCUCAUCCUGACGGUAAGUUGCUGGCCGCGGUACUGGCAUGAUAACCUCAACGCGGGCAGCUCAGUGCGUUUUGCUAGGGAUCGGUAGGGCCUGCGGGGCCUGCGGGCAUAUGCGAGUGAAACUUUGCUUGAACAAGUAGCUAACAAACAAAGUGCGUAACGGUAUCAUUCCCUUCAGGAACUUUUGGUUGCGGAAUAUAGCCAACACGCUUCAUAAAGCCCCGCGGGAGUGAAGAUAUGACAGCAUCCAUAUCAUGUGCGUUGUGCACUCGCCGUGUUCUCGGAAGCCGACAUUAGACCGGGCCCGAUGACCGCGGAAGACGCCCGGAAUGGCCGCGGGUCCUUCAGAGCAGUUAGAAGGCAGAGACGCGUCGAGACAAGCUGCAUGCUAAAGUCAAUGACAGUAACACGCCAAUCCGGAAGAACAACGCGAGCUUUGUAUAUGUUAUAUUCUAUUCUUAUGGGUGGGCGUUUCCUGGUGUACAGCCAGGCACGGAACAGGUCGGACCAGGCCAUGUACGAAACGGAUAGAAGUUUGGGAGGUUUGAAGACCAACUAAAAGAGAAAAUGAAUUUAAUCAUGUGAUUCUGAGGUUGAAUAAUCGGCAGCAUGUAUGGUUCGCUGCAGUCCAUGUUGAGGCGUUGGGGUGGCAACGAACGCCACUUCAGUGUCUCUUCCAAAUCCUCCCAAGAAACCAGAAAUAAUGUACUAUGUUAUAUACUAAUAUGAUAAUUAAGCUUGCAUUUGUCAAGUGUAACAUAAUUGGUACAGCAGUACUUCAUACCUUGUCGAAAGAUGCCGAGACAGACUGGAUGCAGCAACAG
rnacentral:lncRNA from 1 species